CGAAAUCCCCUCAUUUGUCUCUUACACCAAAACCUAAGGAGACCCUAGCCGCCCCAACUUCCCUCACCGUCUCCACCUUCAUUCGCUACUGAAAUCGCCUCAUGACUGUUCCGGUGCUCCAAACACCACCAAAUUAACACCCUAUGACCUCCCUACCCCCCCUUUUCAAAUCUCUAACCCAUUUCCCUCAAAUCAUCACCAAACGUUUCGAAUCUUGAAUCUAAGAUCGAAACCUAAAAAUCCCAAAUCAUCCAAAUGGCCCCAAAAUCACAUCCCACACUCCUCAUACCUUGUUGAACCCUAAAAUACAAUUAACUUACCAAAAACCGCACCGUUUUCUUUGAAUUUUGAAUCUAGUAUCCUCUGAACCCUAACCUUAUGUUUCCAAUUGGCGCUUUAAGAGGUGAAUCACAAACUUUCAUUAGUCGAUUGUUCCUUGUUAAGGACAACCGAUUAAUGUUUGUUAAGGUUCAUUUUAUUUUAUUGAAGAAAGUGGUCAGAUGUUUUGUUGCAUCUAGAUUGAACAUAGGAAAUUUUCCUUUGCUUUAAUUCUAUUUGUUUUCUCUGUUGUUUUCCUCUUCCUUCUCUUGGUUUGCUCAUCAUGAUUUUAAUUCUGUUUAGCUGCAUUUUAGGGUUUCAAAAUAAGCAGAUCUAUGACAGAAUACAUGAAGUGCAAGUUUAGCGCUGAGCCGAGCGAAGUAGGCAGGGACGUGAUGAUUUGAUCUCAGGUCAUCGCCAAGAGGGACAGUGUCAAAUAUCUUGGGUCGGUGAUUCAAGGGG
rnacentral:lncRNA from 1 species